GACGAACCGUGCGAACGUUGUUCGGAAUCACUGGGCUUAAAGGGCGCGUAGGCGGACGACCAAGUCAGGGGUGAAAGCCCCCAGCUCAACUGGGAAGUGCCUUUGAUACUGGUCGUCUCGAGGGAGGUAGGGGCGUGCGGAACUUCCGGUGGAGCGGUGAAAUGCGUAGAUAUCGGAAGGAACGCCGGUGGCGAAAGCGGCGCGCUGGACCUCUUCUGACGCUGAGGCGCGAAAGCUAGGGGAGCAAACGGG
rnacentral:rRNA from 1 species